UAACGGCGAGUGAAGCGGCAACAGCUCAAAUUUGAAAUCUGGCCCCUCCGGGGCCCGAGUUGUAAUUUGCAGAGGAUGCUUUUGGCGACGCGCCUUCCGAGUUCCCUGGAACGGGACGCCUGAGAGGGUGAGAGCCCCGUACGGUCCGGUGCCGAGCCUCUGUAAAGCUCCCUCGACGAGUCGAGUAGUUUGGGAAUGCUGCUCUAAAUGGGAGGUAAACUCCUUCUAAAGCUAAAUACCCGCCAGAGACCGAUAGCGCACAAGUAGAGUGAUCGAAAGAUGAAAAGCACUUUGAAAAGAGAGUUAAACAGCACGUGAAAUUGUUGAAAGGGAAGCGCUUGUGACCAGACUCGGGCCCGGCAGCUCAGCCGUCCUUCCAGGGCGGUGCACUCUGCCGUGCCCGGGCCAGCAUCAGUUUCCGGGAGGGGAGAAACGCGGCGGGAACGUGGCCCUUCGGGGUGUUAUAGCCCGCCGCCAUGCCCUCCGGGGGACUGAGGUCCGCGCGUCCGCGAGGAUGCUGGCGUAAUGGUCACCAGCGACCCGUCUUGAAACACGGACCAAGGAGUCAUCCUAAUAUGCGAGUGUUAGGGCGUCAAACCCCCUACGCGAAAUGAAAGUGAACGGAGGUGAGAGCUUCGGCGCAUCAUCGACCGAUCCUGAUGUUCUCGGAUGGAUUUGAGUAAGAGCAUAUUGGGCUGGACCCGAAAGAAGGUGAACUAUGCUUGGAUAGGGCAAAGCCAGAGGAAACUCUGGUGGAGGCUCGCAGCGGUUCUGACGUGCAAAUCGAUCGUCAAAUCUGAGCAUGGGGGCGAAAGACUAAUCGAACCUUUUAGUAGCUGGUUUCCGCCGAAGUUUCCCUCAGGAUAGCAGUGCUGAGCUCAGUUUUAUGAGGUAAAGCGAAUGAUUAGGGACUCGGGGGCGCUUUUUAGCCUUCAUCCAUUCUCAAACUUUAAAUAUGUAAGA
rnacentral:rRNA from 1 species